rnacentral:rRNA from 1 species
CCUACGGGAGGCUGCAGUGAGGAAUAUUGGUCAAUGGUCGCGAGCCUGAACCAGCCAAGUAGCGUGAAGGAUGACUGCCCUACGGGUUGUAAACCUCUUUUAUCAAGGAAUAAAGUGAAGCACGUGUGCCUGUUUGAGUGUACCUGAAGAAAAAGGAUCGGCUAACUCCGUGCCAGCAGCCGCGGUAAUUCGGAAGAUACGGGCGUUAUCCGGAUUUAUUGGGUUUAAAGGGUGCGUAGACGGGGUGUUAAGUCAGGUGGGAAAGUUUGCGGGGCAACCCGAAAAUUGCAGUUGAUACUGGGAGCCUUGAGUACAGUUGAAGUAGGCGGAAUUCGUGGUGUAGCGGUGAAAUGCUUAGAUAUCACGAAGAACUCCGAUUGCGAAGGCAGCCUACCA